UACACAUACCCGAAUUACUCUUCAAACUCGCAAAACUCGGUUGGAUCUAAAACUAGUUUUUUGGUUUUUUGGGAUCAAAGAUCUAAAACUAGUCUGCUACAGAGUUUGAUCGCUAAGUCGCAAAUAGUUUGGUGUCACCAAUCUUAAACAAAUUUCAGUUUCUUGGAUAGCCAUCUUCGUUCAUCUGCUGUCCCACUUCGUAUCUAACAUUUGAUCAGCGAAAAAGAUGAUUGAUGAUCAAGACUUGGGAUUCUUCGCCAACUUUCUCGGCAUCUUCAUAUUUGUCUUGGUGAUUGCUUAUCAUUAUGUGAUGGCUGACCUGAAGUAUGAAGGGAACUGAGAGGGAUGCGGACUGAUAAUGAUACUUAUAACUCGUUUUUCCCAGUACUCCUUUUUUAUCUUGGUGAAAUAGUUAUGAUGCAAGAUUGAUACGCUGAUGAACUCUGCUUUUGUAUUUCACAUUCGCUGCUUUCAGUGUCUUUCUCUCUCUCUCUCUCUAGCCACUGCAAACUAUCAAAAGAACUACAAAACACACAACUCCCUUUCCAUUAAAAUCUCCACACAUCCCCACAACGGGUUUCACGCGACGAUCAAAGGGUGUGGGUUUCAAGUGAUGAUCAAACAAAUGAGCGAGGGGUUUCCGCUGACGAUCGACAUAAAUUGCGUUUCAAGUGACGAUGAACAGAGGGGUGAGGUAUUUCUGCCGAUGAUCGACAAAGGUCAGGCCCUCCUUCCCCUCAUUCAGCUUCUGGCGAUGAUUGACAGCUCCCUGUUCAGCUUUUGGCAACAAUUAACAGAGGUUUGCUCUCAAGAUUCUCGAUCUUACCCUCUCCUCUCUGGCGGCAAUCCAAGGCAGAUGUGAGAUCUAUAUGCUUGAAUCCAUGGUAGAUCUAUAAUCUUCUUCAAAUGUUUUGCAAAUUUGAUACAUUGUCAAAGACAUUCUUGGCCAUGGGACAUUGGGGCAGGUUGCUAAAUGCUGGGUUGGAGAAACCAAAAGUUUUGUUGCUGUAAAAAUUAUUAAAAAUCAACCUGCAUACUAUCAACAGGCACUGGUUGAAGUUUCUAUUCUGACAACUAGGAGAAAUAUGUAAACUGUGAACGAAGAGAUGGAGGUACUUGUGAAGUGUAGAGGAGACCCCCGUUGAAGAAAAUAAAGUUUCAUAAAAUGCUUAUUGUUGAACUCUUGCCCAUAAAAUUACACCAUCAACCUCUGCUCCACAAGCGCUUGCACGCCUUUGUAUUUUUCUUCCGAUGAGAAGAACGACUGACUGGGCACCACCAUCUGUUGAGGCAAUUUUGAUGACAACCAUGAUCAGAUUGUGGUAUCCUUUCAUUCUUUCAUAUUCUUUACAUUCAAUUAGGAAUUUUUUUUUUUUGGCAGUUUGACUGGUAAAAUCCAGUGAAGGAUGACUGCAGACGAGUGCAAUCAGGUAGAGAAUGAAGUCAAUGCCCCCUUUUCUUAACAUGUUUUUUUGUUUUGUUUUUUUUUUUAAUCCCAUGCAUUUGUUUGUCAUCUUACUACUUUGAUUUAGAAACACAAUUUGUAUUAAUUGUGGUGGUUUCAUAAACCGUCAUCGAUCGGAGCUAUGUGAAUCAAAAGCAGGAACAGAAUCCUUGAUGUCAUCCUCACA